GAUGAACGCUGGCGGCGUGCCUAAUACAUGCAAGUCGAGCGAACAGACGAGGAGCUUGCUCCUUUGACGUUAGCGGCGGACGGGUGAGUAACACGUGGGUAACCUACCUAUAAGACUGGGAUAACUUCGGGAAACCGGAGCUAAUACCGGAUAAUAUUUCGAACCGCGUGGUUCGAUAGUGAAAGAUGGCUUUGCUAUCACUUAUAGAUGGACCUGCGCCGUAUUAGCUAGUUGGUAAGGUAACGGCUUACCAAGGCAACGAUACGUAGCCGACCUGAGAGGGUGAUCGGCCACACUGGAACUGAGACACGGUCCAGGCUCCUACGGGAGGCAGCAGUAGGAAAUCUUCAGCAAUGGGCGGAAGCCUGACGGAGCAACGCCGCGUAGGUGAUGAAGGUCUUCGGAUCGUAAAACUCUGUUAUUAGGGAAGAACAAACAUGUAAGUAACUGUGCACGUCUUGACGGUACCUAAUCAGAAAGCCACGGCUAACUACGUG
rnacentral:rRNA from 1 species